GACGAACGCUGGCGGCGUGCUUAACACAUGCAAGUCGAACGGAAAGGCCCUGCUUUUGUGGGGUGCUCGAGUGGCGAACGGGUGAGUAACACGUGAGUAACCUGCCCUUGACUUUGGGAUAACUUAAGGAAACUGGGGCUAAUACCGGAUAGGAGCUCCUGCUGCAUGGUGGGGGGUGGAAAGUUUCGGCGGUUGGGGAUGGACUCGCGGCUUAUCAGCUUGUUGGUGGGGGAGUGGCUUACCAAGGCUUUGACGGGUAGCCGGCCUGAGAGGGUGACCGGCCACAUUGGGACUGAGAUACGGCCCAGACUCCUACGGGAGGCAGCAGUGGGGAAUAUUGCACCAUGGGCGGAAGCCUGAUGCAGCAACGCCGCGUGCGGGAUGACGGCCUUCGGGUUGUAAACCGCUUUCGCCUGUGACGAAGCGUGAGUGACGGUAAUGGGUAAAGAAGCACCGGCUAACUACGUG
rnacentral:rRNA from 1 species